CUUUUGUCGUUGCCUCAAGCCAGUGGAGAUCGUAUUGGAGAUGGAAGCUAACUCUUGCGCUUCGUCUUGGAGAGGGAAACCUGAAGCCUGGCUCUGCAUAAAUAGAGGGUUGCAUGUCCGUAAUGCUGCAACUACGAACUGGGUUCAAUUUCCCAUUUUAGCACUUGAGCAAUUAGUCAGUGUGCAGGAACGAAAAGUUGGUGCGACUCUUCUUCUGGCUUAAUUUUGUCUCCUCCACCGCUGCUUUUGUACUCAUUUAGCAAAAGGACACCUCGAUCAUCCCUGUUAACAAAGCGAGUAUAGAGUCUCUGAGGUUACAGAGAAGAAUCGAAGACAAAAAAAAAACAAGGGUGAGGCUUCAAUCGUUUUGCUCGAUGUGAUUGGUACUUGGUAUGGUUUGCUUUGGAGGUGGUGGUUUAUCAUACUAGAUGGGAGACAAAAAGCUGGGAGGCUCUUUAGUUGUGGCGGGUAUUUCUGUUUUUCAAAGAGGGUGAAUGUGGAGAGUGAUCGGAACUCGACCAUUACUGACACUAUGUUCCAAUGUUGGAAUUUGCAGCAGCCAGGAUUGUAUUAAGACGUCGGACGUUCAUGAACGACCAUAUUAGUCUUAAUGCAGGAGGAGAUCCCAAUGGAGUUUGGCCGUUCAUGAACGACCAUGGUUGUUUUCAAAAGGAUAUGGGUUGUUCAUGAACAACCCUCCUUUUGUUUGAAGCAAGCUUUUUAGUUCUCUGUCAAAGAAGACAAGAAUAGCAUGACAUGGUGUAUACCUGGGCUUCUCCCCUGCAACUUGGCUUGUCGUCACUCUUUAUCUCUGCAGAACUUCAACAAUUAAUUGUUGCUUCUUUUUUCACACUCUGUUCGGCAGAGCUUUAGCUUUUGCUUGCUGAUUUCUUCCUCCCCCCUCUUCUCUUCACACCACUUCCUUUAUAUAGUAGUGUACUUGCUGAUCGGAUAGCUACCAGCCUCCCCAUACUUGUAAUUUUAAAUUUGAAUGAGAUGUGUUUAUCUCCAACUA